rnacentral:rRNA from 1 species
UGACGGAGGAGCUAGCGUUGUUCGGAAUUACUGGGCGUAAAGCGCACGUAGGCGGCUUUGUAAGUUAGAGGUGAAAGCCCGGGGCUCAACCCCGGAAUUGCCUUUAAGACUGCAUCGCUUGAAUCCGGGAGAGGUGAGUGGAAUUCCGAGUGUAGAGGUGAAAUUCGUAGAUAUUCGGAAGAACACCAGUGGCGAAGGCGGCUCACUGGACUGGUAUUGACGCUGAGGUACGAAAGCGUGGGGAGCAAACAGG